UGCAUACGGUAGUUGUUAACGCUUAAGCACUCAGACCAAGUUAUUAGUAACAGAGGUCAUGGAAAUUCAUAUCUCAAAAGGAUUGCACCUGAUUGACGAGUAAAUGGAAUUGGUAUGCUAAACAAUGGAUUGAUACAGAUACUCAUGAUAUUCUGCCAGGGGGGUGUUUCCUUACUAGCUGGCAGGCGUCAACAUGUCCCUAUCCCAGGCUGUAGUCCCCACAUGCUACAACCACCAUCGUUCCAGUGUCGAAGAACACCAAGUCAUCGACACCGUUGCAGUGCAUGAGCUGGGGCAGGCACAUGCUCAGGUUGCCACAAGGAAAAUAUCCUAGGGGGCAGUUCGUCUUCUCCUCUGAGACGUUGAACGAAGUUCCUGCUGAAAAUUCAAGAGCUGUGUUUCAAUAUCAAAGUUGGUGUCUCUCGAUGAGGGUGAACACAUACUAUACUGAACAAAAAUAUAAACACAACAUGUUAAGUACAUGUUGUGUUUUAUGAGCUGAAAUGUUUUAUGAGCUGAAAUAAAAAUCUCAGGGAUUUUCCCUACUUAUUUCUUUCAAACUUUGUGAACACAUUUGUUUACAUCCCUGUUAGUGAGCAUUUCUCCUUUGCCAAGAUAAUCCAUCCACCUGACAGGUAUGGAAUAUCAAGAAGCUGAUUGCACAGCAUGAUCAUUACACAGGUGCAUCUUGUGCUGGGGACAAUGCCACAGAUGUGUAUAGUUUUGAGGGAGCCUGCAAUUGGCACGCUGACUGCAUGAAUGUCCAACAGAGCUGUAGCUAGAGAAUUUUAUGUUAAUUUCUCUAUGAUAAACUGCCUCCAAAGUCAUUUUAGAGAAAUUGGCAGU